rnacentral:rRNA from 1 species
GGAUUAGAUACCCUGGUAGUCCACGCCGUAAACGAUGAGUGCUAAAUAUCGGGAAUUCAUUUUUCGGUCUUACAGCUAACGCAUUAAGCACUCCGCCUGAGUAGUACGGUCGCAAGACUAAAACUCAAAGGAAUUGACGGGGGCCCGCACAAGCGGUGGAGCAUGCGGUUUAAUUCGAUAAUCCGCGAGGAACCUUACCAACCUUUGACAUAUUUGUCGCGAGUGUAGAGAUACACUUUUCAUCUAGGAUGGACAUUUACAGGGUUGCAUGGUCGUCGUCAGCUCGUGCCG